UCAAGAUGGCUGUUCUCAGGCUCUCUGUCCAUCCCCUGCCUGUUACACCUGGACCCUAUGCACAUGACUGGUCUAAAUACUUGCCCCAGGCCCAGCUGUUGAUUGUUCUUAUUAAAGGGGUGUGCCCCUUUGCUGAUUUCCCUGGUAACAGAUGAGCCAACCAGACACCAAUUCCCCCUAUAACUGGCAAUCUCCCCUUCCUUCUGAGAGAGAUUACUUUCAUGUCCUUGCACCCGAUUUUGCACAAGGUGAGGAGUUGCUCUCAGACCUCUGUUUGGACAGGCAGUUAUUGCACUCUGAUGCUUUUGCAAAAGUAUUUCAUGUUCAAGAAAACUCAUAAGCAGGAUCUUUGGAUAAAUAACAGGUGUCCGAUAAAUUUCAAAUGAUACUGUUGAACUGGAUAAGAAAUUAAAGAAUCCUAAUGGAAAACCUGAUGACUUUAUAAAAACUUAAUAGAAAGAUUUGUUACUGAGUGAACCCAUGAAUAUGGUUAUAAUGUGUUUAUGGGGUUUUUUUUGGUCUGGAAUAUUACUGGGUUUGAUCUGUGUUUUCCAGGUAUAGGGAAGCCCUUCCCCUCAGCUUUCUUAUGACUUACAGCAAUUUGGUAAAUUACAUUCCUGAGUGAAUUGAAAUAGUUUUCUUGUCUCUCUGCCUGGUCCCUCCAGAAACUGGAGAUUCUUAGAUUCUGAGCAGCCUUGUCGGGUGCAUGGGAAAGACUGUUUCCUGCCAUGUGCAGGAAUCUUGAUCUUUUGGGGACCUCUAGAAGAGAAAUCCGUGGAAGUGGACAUUUGACAUGACUUUGCUGGCACUGAGAGGCCUUUUGAGAAUUUAAUCUGAGAGGAAUUCCACCACAGUCAAGUUGGAGGAGCUCAUAUGGUCAAUUGGCCAGACUUAUUUUGCAAAAAAAUUGGUCUUGAUAUGGCUGUGUUUGGGGAUGAGGGUGAUUUCAGAGAGAAAAAAUUUGUUUCAGUGGAUAUUAAAUUCUAGUUCUGCUAAUUGA